AGUCUUAUAUUCAAUAAUGAUAUAAAAUUGCAAAUUUUAAGGAGUAAAAUAAAUACUAAGGCUU
rnacentral:tRNA from 1 species